GGGAGUGAUUUGGCUUCGAUUAGAGCAGAGAGGAUUAGUUGCAUGUAGGUCUGAACCGCCUUAAUCAGUUCAAAAUUUUUAGACGCAAACAAUACAAAUUACGCUCCAGCUUACGCAAAAAUAGCGUAAGUUCACAAUUCAGGACUCGCCUUAGGGCUUGAGGCCUCGGAGAUUCACUCUGUAGAUUCUAUCUAUGCAGGUUAUAGUGGAUUCACCCAGAUAGAUUAUCUUUAUGGUAUUGAUUGCCCCAUUUAGAGACAUUUUAAAUCUUAGCUUUACAAUUGCCUUGCGGGCUGAGCUGUUGUAAAGUGAAAUUUUUCAACCCCUCUAAACAUGUAGACGCUAGUAGUAUCUGUUUUAAGACACGGGUUCGACCCCCGUCACUUCCACCA
rnacentral:tmRNA from 1 species